rnacentral:misc_RNA from 1 species
GGUGGAUGCUUUCUUUGGUUUUUUUGGGCCUGUUGUUGACAAAAACAAGUAAACGUACCCUGGAUCUUUAGCUUACUGUAAAUUCUUUUAGUUGGGAGGCAAUAUCUCAAAGCAUGAAUGAAAAAUGGAAUUAUGUUGCAGUAAAUGUCUGAGGUGCCCACAUUCUUGUUUUCUGGACUUUUUUGGGACUUCCCUUAGAUUUUGAUAAAUAGCUAAUUGUAAAUGGUUUUUACUUGGAUUGUUGACUUCUACAUUCUAGAAACUGCCUUAA